GUUGUGGUUAAUUAGCAUUCCUGUGUGUUUAGCAGCACUCUUAAUGAUUGUCGUGAUCAUCAAGUGCAAGAAAAUUAAAGGAAAUGAAACCCAGCUGAGUGGCAACACUGGCCUGAACUUUAACCCUGCAGAGACUGAAUCUGGACCAGGAACCAAUCAGGACACGGUGAGAUCACACACU